CCAAUAGCGUAUAUUAAAGUUGUUGCAGUUAAAAAGCUCGUAGUUGAAUUUCGGGGUCAGUAGGUUGGUCAUGCCUUCGGUAUGUACUGGUCUCACUGAUUCCUCCCUCUUGAAGAUCCGUAAUGUCAUUAAUUUGGUGUUUCGGGGAAUCAGGACUGUUACUUUGAAAAAAUUAGAGUGUUUAAAGCAGGCUUUGGCUUGAAUACAUUAGCAUGGAAUAAUGAAAUAGGACGUUUGAUCCUAUUUUGUUGGUUUCUAGGAUUGACGUAAUGAUUAAUAGGGAUAGUUGGGGGCAUUAGUAUUCAAUUGUCAGAGGUGAAAUUCUUUGAUUUAUUGAAGACUAACUACUGCGAAAGCAUUUGCCAAGGAUGUUUUCAUUAAUCAAGAACGAAAGUUAGGGGAUCGAAGACGAUCAGAUACCGUCGUAGUCUUAACCAUAAACUAUGCCGACUAGGGAUCGGAUGAUGUUAAUUUUUUAAUGACUCAUUCGGCGCCUUACG
rnacentral:rRNA from 1 species